UAACCUGACACCACACCGUCCAAAUUAGAUGCAUGCAGUUGAGCGGCUGACUCGAUGAGCAUUGAUUUAGAUGCCAGACACUAACAACACCAACCCUCUCUUCUUAAACCCACUUUCACUCUCUUAUUUAGGGUUCAAAACUGCAUUCUCUCACUACCGCCGUUGAUGUGCAAUCUGCCUUGCCUGGAUGCUUGACGCAGCUUCUGUGCUGUGGAACCGUUGAGGAUCUAAUGCCACGGAGAUGCUCGAUCAUCACUUUCAAUUCUUCACCAUCUAUCAAUUGUGAUUUCUCUGAUUAAUUACAUUAUAAUAGUUCUGAUGCUUUAACACAUGGCACCGACAAAUGACAAAAAUAUAAUUGAAGAGUUAACUGCCACAAAUGAAUAACUUGAAUUUGACAUGGUAAAUGAAGCAUUGCAUGAACAAGAAAAUCAAAUUGUACGUUAUGUUGAUUAUCAACGAUUGGUGGCGGAGAAUAGACAGUCCAAAGAGAAGAUUUCAAUUCUUGAGGGUGAGGUAAAAUUGUUGAAAGAAGAAUUGUGUAAACGUCAACCAAUGCAUGAAUCCGAUAAUGAAUUUGAUGGUAUGAAUAUUGAAUUUUUUUUGUUUAUCAAAUAUUUAUGAUAUGCAAUUAGACUUGUUAAUAACAUACUAUUUGUCAACGGAAGAAAUAAGUGUGUUAUGGGCAUAUUUUGAGUUUGUGGGGGGUUCUCUAUAGCGAUGUAGUUGGUGGGGUUUGAACUGCACUUUUUGCCUGUAUUUUUCCUUCUUUAUGCUUGUAUGAACAAAUAGGAAUGAACUUUAUCUCUUUCUUUCUUUAUGAUUAAGUAACGAUUUAGAUUUGUUUGA